rnacentral:rRNA from 1 species
AGCGAACGCUGGCGGCGUACCUAACACAUGCAAGUCGAACGGGGAUCACAGGGUUAGCAAUAGCUCCGUGGUUCUAGUGGCGCACGGGUGAGUAACACGUGGGUAACCUGCCCUUGAGACUGGGAUACCCCCUCGAAAGGGGGGCUAAUACCGGAUACGUUCCUCGGAUCGAAAGGUCUGAGGAGGAAAGGUGGCGAAAGCUGCCGCUCUUGGAGGGGCUCGCGGCCUAUCAGCUAGUUGGCGGGGAACGGCCCACCAAGGCUAUGACGGGUAGCUGGUCUGAGAGGACGACCAGCCACACGGGGACUGAGACACGGCCCCGACUCCUACGGGAGGCAGCAGUGGGGAAUUUUCCGCAAUGGGCGAAAGCCUGACGGAGUGACGCCGCGUGUGGGACGAAGGCCUUCGGUCGUAA